CCUACGGGACGCAGCAGUGAGGAAUAUUGGUCAAUGGGCUUACGCCUGAACCAGCCAAGUCGCGUGAGGGAAGACUGCCCUAUGGGUUGUAAACCUCUUUUGUCAGGGAGCAACGCCGGCUACGUGUAGCCGGACUGAGAGUACCUGAAGAAAAAGCAUCGGCUAACUCCGUGCCAGCAGCCGCGGUAAUACGGAGGAUGCGAGCGUUAUCCGGAUUUAUUGGGUUUAAAGGGUGCGUAGGCGGACAGUCAAGUCAGCGGUAAAAAUGCGGUGCUCAACGCCGUACAGCCGUUGAAACUGGCAGU
rnacentral:rRNA from 1 species